ACUAACCUACCUUCGAGUGGGGGAUAACCCGGGGAAACCUGGGCUAAGACCGCGUAACAUUUAGAUGUCUUCGGGCAUUUAGAUCAAAACAUGGCCUCUAUUUAUAAGCUAUGGCUCGAAGAUGAGCCCACAGCCUAUCACGCUUGUUGGUGAGGUAAAGGCUCACCAAGGCGACGACGGGUAGCCGGCCUGAGAGGGUGAUCGGCCACACUGGAACUGAGACACGGUCCAG
rnacentral:rRNA from 1 species